CAGCAGCCGCGGUAAUACGGAGGGGGCUAGCGUUGUUCGGAAUUACUGGGCGUAAAGCGCACGUAGGCGGCUUGGUAAGUUAGAGGUGAAAGCCCGGAGCUCAACUCCGGAAUUGCCUUUAAGACUGCCGAGCUAGCAGGUGAGAGAGGUAAGUGGAAUUCCGAGUGUAGAGGUGAAAUUCGUAGAUAUUCGGAAGAACACCAGUGGCGAAGGCGGCUUACUGGCUCAUACUGGGCGCUGAGGUGCGAAAGCGUGGGGAGCAAACAGGAUUAGAUACCCCCGUAGUCCCUGUCUCUUAUAC
rnacentral:rRNA from 1 species